CGGGUGAGUAACACGUAUGCAACCUGCCUGCCACAGCCGGAUAAUCGGGAGAAAUUCCGUCUAAUACGGCAUAAUGCAUCGACGGGACAUCCUGUUGGUGCCAAAGGUUGAUUCCGGUGGCGGAUGGGCAUGCGUCGCAUUAGUUAGUUGGCGGUGUAACGGACCACCAAGACGACGAUGCGUAGGGGUUCUGAGAGGGAGGUCCCCCACACUGGUACUGAGACACGGACCAGACUCCUACGGGAGGCAGCAG
rnacentral:rRNA from 1 species